AUGGUCGAAGGCUCGGACGCGGACAUUGCUAACCUGAAGUUCCUCCUCCUCUGCUUCCAACAAAUGUCUGGCCUCAAGAUCAACUUCGACAAGAAUGGUGUGAUGGUAAUGGGUUACUCUCCAGUGGAGGCCCUCGAUAUUGCCAACCGACUCAACUGCUGCCUGGGAUCCUUCCCCAUGACUUACUUGGGAACGUCCAUUAGUGACUCUCGGCUUACCGUUGUGGACUUGCGCCCAAGGGUGGCCAAGCUACAAACGUGCAUUGAGCCUUGGCAGGGUAGGUGGUUGUCAAAGGCGGCUCGGAAGAUUCUCAUCAACUUCUCCCUCUCCAGCCUCCUCUUGUUCCUCAUGAGCUUCUAUAGCCUUCAUGAGACCCUUCACCAUGAGAUCGCCAAAGUCCAAUCUCGCUUCUAUUGGGCUAGCGAUAACAAUAAGCAGAAAUACCAUAUGGUUAGCUGGCCAGACAUCUGCAAGCCCCGGGAUCAAGGAGGCCUCGGUAUCAUGUGCUCUAAGCACAUGAAUAUUGCCCUCCUCUUUCGCUGGCUCUGGCGCAUUUUGCAAGGGCACGGCGGCCUUUGGUUA
rnacentral:rRNA from 1 species